AUAGCUGAUUGCACCAACAAAUGGUUGAUGCAAUAUUGACUCUGUCAAAUAAAAUUCUAGGUAGAAUUAUGAUAAUGACAUUGUCUGCCUAUAUGUCUUGACCAAAUUACGUGCCAGCAGUCGCGGUAAUACGUAGAAGACUAGUGUUAUUCAUCUUUAAUAGGUUUAAAGGGUACCUAGACGGUAAAUCAAGCCUUCAUAGGGACUAAUUUACUAGAGUUACUUACGAGGGGGUAUUAAAGUACUGCAGGUGUAGAGAUGAAAUUCUGUCAUACCUCUUUUCAAAAGAAAAAUUAUGGCACAGGUAUAGGUGAAAGCAUCCCCUUAUGUGAUAACUGACGUUGAAGGACGAAGGCUUUGUGUCGCGAACAGGAUUAGAUACCCCAGUAGUCAAAGCAGAAAAUGAUGAAUGUCAUAGAUUAGAUAUAUAAUUUAUUCUAUAAAUGAAAAUGUAAGCAUUCCACCUCAAGAGUAAUUUGGCAACAUUGGAACUGAAAUCAUUAGACCGUUUCUGAAACCAGUAGUGAAGUAUGUUGUUUAAUUUGAUGAUCCGCAAAAAACCUUACCACAAUUUGAAUAUUUAUAUCUAUCUUUUUUUUCGUAAACAAAUAAAAAGGUAAUAUAUUUACAAGCGUUGCACGGCUGUCUUCAGUUAAUGUCGCGAGACUUUGGUUAGUUCCAUUUAAUUAACGUAAACCCUUACUUUAUUUUUAUAUGAAGUAGUUCCCCACUAUAUUGGAUAUGAUAACAGG
rnacentral:rRNA from 1 species